rnacentral:rRNA from 1 species
UGGGGAAUUUUGGACAAUGGGCGAAAGCCUGAUCCAGCAAUGCCGCGUGUGUGAAGAAGGCCUUCGGGUUGUAAAGCACUUUUGUCCGGAAAGAAAUCCUCUGGGUUAAUACCUCGGGGGGAUGACGGUACCGGAAGAAUAAGCACCGGCUAACUACGUGCCAGCAGCCGCGGUAAUACGUAGGGUGCAAGCGUUAAUCGGAAUUACUGGGCGUAAAGCGUGCGCAGGCGGUUUUGUAAGACGGAUGUGAAAUCCCCGGGCUUAACCUGGGAACUGCAUUCGUGACUGCAAGGCUAGAGUAUGGCAGAGGGGGGUAGAAUUCCACGUGUAGCAGUGAAAUGCGUAGAGAUGUGGAGGAAUACCGAUGGCGAAGGCAGCCCCCUGGGCCAAUACUGACGCUCAUGCACGAAAGCGUGGGGAGCAAACAGGAUUAGAUACCCUGGUAGUCCACGCCCUAAAACGAUGUCAACUAGUUGUUGGGGGAUUCAUUUCCUUAGUAACGUAGCUAACGCGUGAAGUUGACCGCCUGGGGAGUACGGUCGCAAGAUUAAAACUUAAA